rnacentral:misc_RNA from 1 species
UUUCCGUAGGUGAACCAGCGGAGGGAUCAUUACCGAGUUUACAACUCCCAAACCCCUGUGAACAUACCAUUUGUUGCCUCGGCGGUGCCUGCUUCGGCAGCCCGCCAGAGGACCCAAACCCUUGAUUUUAUACAGUAUCUUCUGAGUAAAUGAUUAAAUAAAUCAAAACUUUCAACAACGGAUCUCUUGGUUCUG